AUAUUACUAAGCGGAGGAAAAGAAACUAACAAGGAUUCCCCUAGUAACGGCGAGCGAACCGGGAAGAGCCCAACUUGAAAAUCUGGCAGCUUCGCUGUCGGAAUUGUAGUCUAAAGAAGCGUCCUCUGUAGCGGACCGGGCCCAAGUUCCCUGGAAUGGGACGUCAGAGAGGGUGAGAGCCCCGUCGACCCCGGACCCUGCUACUCCACGAGGCGCUGUCGCCGAGUCGGGUUGUUUGGGAAUGCAGCCCUAAAUGGGUGGUAAAUUCCAUCUAAGGCUAAAUACUGGCGAGAGACCGAUAGCGCACAAGUA
rnacentral:rRNA from 1 species